rnacentral:rRNA from 1 species
CUACGGGAGGCUGCAGUGGGGAAUAUUGCACAAUGGACGAAAGUCUGAUGCAGCAACGCCGCGUGGAGGAUGACACAUUUCGGUGCGUAAACUCCUUUUAUAUAGGAAGAUAAUGACGGUACUAUAUGAAUAAGCACCGGCUAACUCCGUGCCAGCAGCCGCGGUAAUACGGAGGGUGCAAGCGUUACUCGGAAUCACUGGGCGUAAAGAGCGUGUAGGCGGGUUAAUAAGUUGGAAGUGAAAUCCUAUGGCUCAACCAUAGAACUGCUUCCAAAACUGUUAACCUAGAAUAUGGGAGAGGUAGAUGGAAUUUCUGGUGUAGGGGUAAAAUCCGUAGAGAUCAGAAGGAAUACCGAUUGCGAAGGCGAUCUACUGGAACAUUAUUGACGCUGAGACGCGAAAGUGUGGGGAGCAAACAGGAUUAGAUACCCUAGUAGUC